rnacentral:rRNA from 1 species
GACGCACGCUGGCGGCGUGCUUAACACAUGCAAGUCGAACGGAAAGGCCCUGCUUUUGUGGGGUGCUCGAGUGGCGAACUGGUGAGUAACACGUGAGUAACCUGCCCUUGACUUUGGGAUAACUUCAGGAAACUGGGGCUAAUACCUGAUAGGAGCUCCUUCUGCAUGGUGGGGGUUGGAAAGUUUCGGCGGGUGGGGAUGGACUCGCGGCUUAUCAGCUUGUUGGUGGGGUAGUGGCUUACCAAGGCUUUGACGGGUAGCCGGCCUGAGAGGGUGACCGGCCACAUUGGGACUGAGAUACGGCCCAGACUCCUACGGGAGGCAGCAGUGGGGAAUAUUGCACAAUGGGCGGAAGCCUGAUGCAGCAACGCCGCGUGCGGGAUGACGGCCUUCGGGUUGUAAACCGCUUUCGCCUGUGACGAAGCGUGAGUGACGGUAAUGGGUAAAGAAGCACCGGCUAACUACGUG